ACUGCUGAAAGCAUAUGCAAAGGUUGAGCCUCUGACAAUAGCUGAGCUUAAUUAUUUAUUAUCACUGCUCCAUCCCAGGACAUUGACUUCAUAUGUACCGGGAGAGUUGCUCGUGUUGACAUGGACAAAGGGUGGUGUUAUGCUGCAUGCUCCAAAUGCAGUAAAAUUGCAGCACACUGUCUCCUCUAUUGCGUUUGUGCGAUGCGACAAUGCUCAUGCUGUCGGGACUUUCCGCUAUCGCGUGGAGACGACCAUUGCUGAUGGUACUGCUGAAGGUGCAUCCUUUUGUUUUAAUGGUGUAGUGACGAAAUUACAUAGCCUCAGAGCAAGUG